rnacentral:rRNA from 1 species
CCUACGGGAGGCAGCAGUGGGGAAUAUUGCACAAUGGGGGAAACCCUGAUGUAGCGACGCCGCGUGAGUGAAGAAGUAUUUCGGUAUGUAAAGCUCUAUCAGCAGGGAAGAAAAUGACGGUACCUGAUGAAGAAGCCCCGGCUAACUACGUGCCAGCAGCGGCGGGAAUACGUAGGGGGCAAGCGUUAUCCGGAUUUACUGGGUGUAAAGGGAGCGUAGACGGCAGCACAAGUCUGGAGGGAAAUGCCGGGGCUUAACCCCGGAACUGCUUUGGAAACUGAGCAGCUAGAGUGCAGGAGAGGUAAGUGGAAUGCCUGGUGUAGCGGUGAAAUGCGUAGAUAUUAGGAGGAACACCAGUGGCGAAGGCGGCUUACUGGACUGUAACUGACGUUGAGGCUCGAAAGCGUGGGGAGCAAACAGGAUUAGAUACCCGUGUAGUC